GACGAACGCUGGCGGCGUGCCUAAUACAUGCAAGUUGAGCGCUGAAGGUUGGUACUUGUACCGACUGGAUGAGCAGCGAACGGGUGAGUAACGCGUGGGGAAUCUGCCUUUGAGCGGGGGACAACAUUUGGAAACGAAUGCUAAUACCGCAUAAAAACUUUAAACACAAGUUUUAAGUUUGAAAGAUGCAAUUGCAUCACUCAAAGAUGAUCCCGCGUUGUAUUAGCUAGUUGGUGAGGUAAAGGCUCACCAAGGCGAUGAUACAUAGCCGACCUGAGAGGUGAUCGGCCACAUUGGGACUGAGACACGGCCCAAACUCCUACGGGAGGCAGCAGUAGGGAAUCUUCGGCAAUGGACGAAAGUCUGACCGAGCAACGCCGCGUGAGUGAAGAAGGUUUUCGGAUCGUAAAACUCUGUUGGUAGAGAAGAACGUUGGUGAGAGUGGAAAGCUCAUCAAGUGACGGUAACUACCCAGAAAGGGACGGCUAACUACGUG
rnacentral:rRNA from 1 species